GAACGCUGGCGGCGUGCCUAAUACAUGCAAGUCGAACGGUCUUUUCUAUGGAAGCUUGCUUCCACUGAGAAGAUAGUGGCGAACGGGUGAGUAACACGUGGGUAACCUGCCCAUAAGAGGGGGAUAACAUCCGGAAACGGGUGCUAAUACCGCAUAGUUUUCUUGAUCGCAUGAUCGGGAAAGGAAAGACGGCCUUUGUGCUGUCGCUUAUGGAUGGACCCGCGGCGUAUUAGUUAGUUGGUGAGGUAACGGCUCACCAAGACGAUGAUACGUAGCCGACCUGAGAGGGUGAUCGGCCACAUUGGGACUGAGACACGGCCCAAACUCCUACGGGAGGCAGCAGUAGGGAAUCUUCCGCAAUGGACGAAAGUCUGACGGAGCAACGCCGCGUGAGUGAAAGAAGGUUUUCGGAUCGUAAAACUCUGUUGUCAGAGAAGAACAAGUUGGAGAGUAACUGCUCCAGCCUUGACGGUAUCUGACCAGAAAGCCACGGCUAACUACGUGCCAGCCGCGGC
rnacentral:rRNA from 1 species